UUGUCCCGGUUUAAGCGUGUAGGCUGGUUUUCCAGGCAAAUCCGGAAAAUCAAGGCUGAGGCGUGAUGACGAGGCACUACGGUGCUGAAGCAACAAAUGCCCUGCUUCCAGGAAAAGCCUCUAAGCAUCAGGUAACAUCAAAUCGUACCCCAAACCGACACAGGUGGUCAGGUAGAGAAUACCAAGGCGCUUGAGAGAACUCGGGUGAAGGAACUAGGCAAAAUGGUGCCGUAACUUCGGGAGAAGGCACGCUGAUAUGUAGGUGAAGUCCCUCGCGGAUGGAGCUGAAAUCAGUCGAAGAUACCAGCUGGCUGCAACUGUUUAUUAAAAACACAGCACUGUGCAAACACGAAAGUGGACGUAUACGGUGUGACGCCUGCCCGGUGCCGGAAGGUUAAUUGAUGGGGUCAGCGCAAGCGAAGCUCUUGAUCGAAGCCCCGGUAAACGGCGGCCGUAACUAUAACGGUCCUAAGGUAGCGAAAUUCCUUGUCGGGUAAGUUCCGACCUGCACGAAUGGCGUAAUGAUGGCCAGGCUGUCUCCACCCGAGACUCAGUGAAAUUGAACUCGCUGUGAAGAUGCAGUGUACCCGCGGCAAGACGGAAAGACCCCGUGAACCUUUACUAUAGCUUGACACUGAACAUUGAGCCUUGAUGUGUAGGAUAGGUGGGAGGCUUUGAAGUGUGGACGCCAGUCUGCAUGGAGCCGACCUUGAAAUACCACCCUUUAAUGUUUGAUGUUCUAACGUGGACCCGUGAUCCGGGUUGCGGACAGUGUCUGGUGGGUAGUUUGACUGGGGCGGUCUCCUCCUAAAGAGUAACGGAGGAGCACGAAGGUUGGCUAAUCCUGGUCGGACAUCAGGAGGUUAGUGCAAUGGCAUAAGCCAGCUUGACUGCGAGCGUGACGGCGCGAGCAGGUGCGAAAGCAGGUCAUAGUGAUCCGGUGGUUCUGAAUGGAAGGGCCAUCGCUCAACGGAUAAAAGGUACUCCGGGGAUAACAGGCUGAUACCGCCCAAGAGUUCAUAUCGACGGCGGUGUUUGGCACCUCGAUGUCGGCUCAUCACAUCCUGGGGCUGAAGUAGGUCCCAAGGGUAUGGCUGUUCGCCAUUUAAAGUGGUACGCGAGCUGGGUUUAGAACGUCGUGAGACAGUUCGGUCCCUAUCUGCCGUGGGCGCUGGAGAACUGAGGGGGGCUGCUCCUAGUACGAGAGGACCGGAGUGGACGCAUCACUGGUGUUCGGGUUGUCAUGCCAAUGGCACUGCCCGGUAGCUAAAUGCGGAAGAGAUAAGUGCUGAAAGCAUCUAAGCACGAAACUUGCCCCGAGAUGAGUUCUCCCUGACCCUUUAAGGGUCCUGAAGGAACGUUGAAGACGACGACGUUGAUAGGCCGGGUGUGUAAGCGCAGCGAUGCGUUGAGCUAACCGGUACUAAUGAACCGUGAGGCUUAACCUU
rnacentral:rRNA from 1 species